GCAGUUCUGUUUAACACAGUUUUGUUCAUAACAGUUUUCAGGAUUUUCUUCUGUCUAAUUAUUAUGCUUGCAGACAUGUACAUAUAAAUUUAUGAACAAGAAUAUUGUAAAACCGUUUGGAUGAUCUCGUUGCCAGCUUACCCAAGGGGUAAAAUAGUCACACAUUAUAUUAAUACAAUGAUUUCACAUUUUAGAAACAUAUAGUUUAAACAUUCCCCGAAUUAAUACUGUUGGUCACUGUUUAACUUGAUCCUUCCUUUAUGCCAGAUCUAAAGUAGGUCAUCAACAGAAGUAGAAAUUCACACCACCGCGUGAGGAUUUGCUUGUUUGUGAGUGUCGGCGCGUGCACGAGGACGUGUGUGUGUGCAAGGCCCACGAGCACCUCUGAAAAAAGAAGCCACAUCUUAGAAGAAGAGUAUUUAUAUUUUGUCGGUUGCUAACUGAUGCAUGAAUUUCAGCCAUGAUGGCCUUCUCAGUUUUAUAUUAUUUUUAAUUAUUUGCGCAUGCAUAACAUGACAGAGGGUAAAUUUGCUCCGAGUGCACCAUGGAGCUGUGUUUUUUGUGAUUCAUAUGUCGCGACCAUGCUGCAGAGCAAACAGAGAGAAUGCAUCCGUGAGAAGCUGCAGAAUUGUAUUUACACACUGCAUCUUUAAGUAUUAUAAAACUGAAUUAUACUCUAAGAACAUAAAUUUCCAAACAGACCCUUGAGCGUGUGCACUUUACGAAUUUCAUGUUUUAAUGACGGCAGAUGACGAUGGUAAUAAGGGGUAACCUUUGUUCAUUUACAAACUUGUUGAAGUAGGUCAACUACCCUUCAAAAGUGUUUAUUGCUAAUGAGCCAGGCCUUAAAGCUGAGUGUUUCCCACAGCCAGAAAGAUGCAGCAUGAGAAGUUCAGACUGAGACUGUGCAGUUAAAAACAUUCCCUCCCUGGGGUAUUUUUUAACUCACUAAACCAUAACAUCGCGCUGAUUCGCAGUGACUUCCCUCCUGUGUAUUCCUGUCACCCGAAGAACACACACGCCCUCAAAACACCUUGGAAUCGGCACAGAGAUGUAAGCAGCGCAUUUCUCCUUAAUGCCGUUCGUCAGCUUUGCCCUAAUCAAUUCUGUCUCUUUCCCCCCAAGGCCAUAAACCUCGCGCACAGACGAGACACUGUGUUUUACAGUGUCCUUUCAUCCCAUCCGUGUGAGUCGUUUGUCACUGGCAGUGCAUGACUGAGUCCACUCUGCCCUCUUCUCCUUUGCUGCCCUAGAGAUGGAGAGAAUGUGAGAUGGGUUGGGAGGGACAGGGACGGAACGUGAUAGGCAGAGAGACAAGGGCAGGAGGAGCAGGGGAGCCUGCCGAUUCGAUAGGCCCUCACCUCGUUUUACAUGCCUUGCCUUCUGUUCUCCUCUUCUGCAGUUUCCUGUUCCCUCCAUUUGCAAAAGUGUUUGGUCAAGGCAGCUGGGCUCGUGCUCAGCUGAUCAUCAGGAACUCAGUCUUGGAUCUUUAAAGCGGCGUAAUGCUUUUAUUUCUCUGCUGUCCAUUGCUGUCCUUUAGGUAAUUUCAACUUGUGAUUUUUUAAAAGAGCAAAACGCUGAUUUUAGGUGGCUGUUUCUGGCUACUGAGGAAUAGUUGCUGUUUUGUCGAAAAAGCACCCAGAAAUAACCCUGUCAUAAUGACCCAAAAUGUUGCAUCUACUGUAUGGGAAGAUACUGAUCAAAAUAGUCUAGAAACACAAGCCUCUUGCUUGUGUUCUGACUCAUGUCGUUUGCUCUGUUUGUCUGUCUUGUGGUAAUUCCAUGCCUUAUCUCCAGCAGGUAUGUUCUCAGAUGAGGCCUGGGUACAUUAAUGGCCAACUCGCAGGCUUCAGUAGUGCAGAGUGAUGGCCUCGCGUGUUCUGAGAGGCCGGAGAACAGGCGGAACGUUCUCGUGCUGCGCCGCGUCCCCGGCUUUUAGCCAUCUGCUGGGCUUGGCUCCUGGCUGUGCUGCAAACCGUAUGUCGGGUAAUUUUCUUAGCGGAGAGUUUUUUUUUCCAAAACAAUUCAUAGCAGCUGGGCCCCUGGGGGGAUAACAGCAGUCUUCCCCCCCCAGGAAUGCUUUGCUUGUACCGUACGCCCGGCUCCUUAAGCAAUGCGCCACCUUCUGUGUCUUACAUGUAAAUGUUUAUACUUCAAAAGCCAUUAAAUGUUUGAGUCAUGUGAAUUCCCUAGGCCUGUGUAAUUUACACCGAUGUAUAAAACUGCUUGAAAGUAAUUGAAUACAUAAGGUUUGUGAAUUCAGAAGCAGAAUCAACUUUUUUGGCGUAAUUGGUCACAUUAAAGUAAAAUAAACCAACAAAAAUGACAGAACCUGGAGUAGUAACACAGAGCAUUAACCAACCAGCAACAUAGACUAUACAUCAGCGCUCUUCAAAUCUGGAGCUAUAUAAAAGCACUAUAUAAAUGCAACAUUCAUUCAUUCCAUAUUUCCGCAUUUAUUAGUUGAAUAGUGUUACUUCAUAUUUUAUUUUGUGAAAAACAUAAUAUGCAUCUGCUUUCCAAAUGGCUCUCUAUUCCAAAUCCAGGCCUGGUUUUCAGUUCUCCCAGGUAGUUAGUUUAAUAAUUAUUGAUUCUGAUUGGCUGGAGGCUUCACACCUGGCUGUCAGGUAAAGGAAGCCUGGAAAAUCAGCAGGGCUCGGACUUUGUGGAUUGCGAUAAAUAUAGAGUAUCACAGAUGCUGCUGAAUGAUAAUUCUGCAGAGGGUCAAGCCCCCUUUCCAUAUUUUUCAUUUCCAUUCCCUUUUUUAACCCCAAUCUCCUGAUGCACUUUCUGGAGGGAAAAAUAUUUUUCAUGGAGAUGCACGGAGUCCGAGGUACUGAAUGCACAGAUCUGUUUACCAAGGGCAUCCUACCAGGAGCGCAAGUUCCAGACAACCUGGACCUGUGGCUCACCGAAGGACAUGGUCCCAUCCAUCAUCCUCUCACAGUCCUCUGAGAAUUUUCUUCCAUGAGUCAUUGGAAACGACAGCAUUCAGGCCGAUUUCGAUAUCUACUGAGGGAUCGCGGCUGUGAUUUUUAUUUUUUUUGAUGAGGUUUCAGAUACAGAAACAUCAAAAACUGUGGCACCAUGACAUCGUCGUCUGAACACUUUCUACUCGCUUUAAGCUCUUUGCACACUUUCCGGAACCCCUACAGUCUUACUUUAGCUCACUCAUCCCUCGCGGCUGAGAUGUUCCAGAGGGACCUGCUUACCAGGAAGCUACGUCUGGGAGAAACGGCGGUGUUUCAAUGCUCUCUUUAUGUUCACAGCUGUGUGAAAAUAUCAGACGUGUCUAAUUCCCAGAAACUCUACUGACAGAUUCCUUUUCCAUGUAGGAAGCAACCCUCUUGCUAAAGGUUUUCGGCUGUUUCUUUCAGUGCACUUUUGCCAGAAAUGGACCCUUUCGGCAAAGCAAAAGAACAUUCCAUGGGUCUUUAGAAUGAGCUGUACACUGUACUGGGCAGUACGUAUAAUAUUGAUUUUCUACAUUAUUAUUGGGUAUAUUUCUGACGUGUAUCCAGAAUGAUAUUUUUCUCAUUUUUACCCAGGGGGGAGAUCUCCUCGGUCCUCUCCUUUGGGGAAUAAACACCAGGUUUUAACAUUUCAUGUCUGGGGUGCAAAAAAUAAAAUGUAAUAAAAAUGUAUGAUUUAUUUAUAA